CCUACGGGAGGCAGCAGUGAGGAAUAUUGCGCAAUGGACGAAAGUCUGACGCAGCAACGCCGCGUGGGCGAUGAAGCAGUUUUCUGUGUAAAGCCCUGUUGGGAGGGAAGAAUGGUCCGACAUCCGUUGGACUUGACGGUACCUCCAGAGAAAGCUCCGGCCAACUCCGUGCCAGCAGCCGCGGUAAUACGGGGGGAGCGAGCGUUGUCCGGAUUCAUUGGGCGUAAAGGGCGCGUAGGUGGGCUGGUAAGUGAGAGGUAAAAUCGCGGGGUUUAACUCCGAAAUUGCCUUUCAUACUGCCAGUCUCGAGGGCGAGAGGGGAAGAUGAAAUUCCUGGUGUAGCGGUGAAAUGCGUAGAUAUCAGGAGGAACACCGGUGGCGAAGGCGGUCUCCUGG
rnacentral:rRNA from 1 species